CGCACGAGCGCACCCUUGCCUUUAGUUGCCAUCGGGUAAUGCCGGGCACUCUAGAGGGACUGCCUGCGUUAAGCAGGAGGAAGGUGGGGAUGACGUCAGGUCCUCAUGGCCCUUAUGUUCAGGGCUACACACGUGCUACAAUGGGCGGUACAAAGGGUCGCAAACCCGCGAGGGGGAGCCAACCCCAAAAAACCGUCCUCAGUUCGGAUUGGAGUCUGCAACUCGACUCCAUGAAGUCGGAAUCGCUAGUAAUCGCGGAUCAGCACGCCGCGGUGAAUACGUUCCCGGGCCUUGUACACACCGCCCGUCACACCAUGGGAGUUGGUUGUACCGGAAGUCGGUGUCCCAACCUUCGGGGGGGAGCCGCCUAUGGUAUGGCUGAUAACUGGGGUGAAGUCGUAACAAGGUAGCCGUAGGGGAACCUGCGGCUGGAUCACCUCCUUU
rnacentral:rRNA from 1 species